rnacentral:rRNA from 1 species
CCUACGAGCGGCAGCAGUGGGGAAUAUUGGACAAUGGGGGGAACCCUGAUCCAGCCAUGCCGCGUGUGUGAAGAAGGCCCUCGGGUUGUAAAGCACUUUCAGUGAGGAAGAACGCCUGGUGGUUAAUACCCAUCAGGAAAGACAUCACUCACAGAAGAAGCACCGGCUAACUCCGUGCCAGCAGCCGCGGUAAUACGGAGGGUGCGAGCGUUAAUCGGAAUUACUGGGCGUAAAGCGCGCGUAGGUGGCUUGAUAAGCCGGUUGUGAAAGCCCCGGGCUCAACCUGGGAACGGCAUCCGGAACUGUCAAGCUAGAGUGCAGGAGAGGAAGGUAGAAUUCCCGGUGUAGCGGUGAAAUGCGUAGAGAUCGGGAGGAAUACCAGUGGCGAAGGCGGCCUUCUGGACUGACACUGACACUGAGGUGCGAAAGCGUGGGUAGCAAACAGGAUUAGAUACCCGAGUAGUC